CCAGGUAAGCUAAGGGACUGAUGAAGCCAAUUCCCAUGGCUACUAGGAGAAUGUCUUUACAUCAUGCUUGUGGUAGCGUGGGAGAGGCAUUUAGGUGAAGAAUUCUCCGUAUCUCUCAGAGUGCAGGCUGGCCUGAACCUUGUGAUCCACCGACCUCAGCAUCCCAAGUGCUAGGAUCGAGGUACGUGCUGUCUCCUUCACAUCCUGCAGAUAACCAGGUGCUUGGGCUAUAUGUGAUUUGAGUCAAAUGCAGACACCACAUUCAUCAGGAAUCAAGGGAUCUUCAAGGAAAUAUUGAAGAGCUUGGUCGCACCAAGGACACCAGGACAGGUGCCAAACGCUGGAUGCCAGCCCUGAUAGAACUACCUCAUGGACUAAACAAGUAAUAUAACUAUAAGGGGCAGUCACAUCCAGAAGUGUCCUCUUAGCCCUGGGGGAUACAUUCCAAGACCCCCAACAGAUGCCUGACAGCAGAGAGUUGCGCUCAAUAUUGUGGUAACUGAAGUCACAGAAAACGAAACCGUGAGUCAGAGGAGACCACUGGAUCAGACCACAGAGGCAGGAGGAUUAAAUGGGAAGUACACACACAGAUUCCCAAAUUCAGCGAGAACAUCACAACACUGAUAAACAAAACAGACAAAUCCAAACAGUUUUCAGCCUCCGGAACAGAUCAUCCACAGAAACCUUUUGAGCUCUAAUGUUUUUGUGCUUCAUCCAAAUGAGCCACCAUUUCUUCAGGUUCUGCUUUUGGUUGGUAAGGGUGGGUGGUAAGGAUGAGCUAGUUAGACAAGCUGACUUCUACUAAUGGGUAAGUUAGCUAACAAGCAACCCCUCCUUGACUUACUGCCAUUACUGGAUUAGAGUUCAUCCCUUCUGAUGCUGGACCUCGGAGAUUGGCAAAUGACGGGAAUUCACACUGUGCUCAGCAUUCCUGAAACCACAUCCUAGCAAUAGUUUCCAGGUCUCCUCAGUGCCUGGGGACAGGGCUGGACAGAAGCUGGUAAGUCACUGAGCCUGUUUUCUUCUAACAGUGGCAUCAAUAAUAUGGCUAGAGCCUACUAACUGAAGUAAAGCCCUGGGUUUCUGAAUUGUGUGUCAGUCUCAAGAGGGCCAUAGUGGCUGCUAUGAUUUGGAUAUGGUUUCACUGUUGUCCCUCAGAAUGCACAGCGGGAGCCGGGUUCCCCCUGUGGUGAUAUGGGAGGUAAUGGAAACUUUCAGAGACAAGGCUGUUGAUGGGUGGUUAGGUCACUGGAUUCCUGCCAGAGUGUGAUAUUAAAAGCAGGAAGACUGAC